AGCCACACCCAUGCCACCCUGAACAAGCCCUAUGUCUGACCUUGGAAGCUAAGCAGGGUCUGGCCUGGUUAGUACUUAAAUGAGGACCACCUAGGAAGACCAGGUGCUAUAGGCA
rnacentral:rRNA from 1 species